UGGGGAAUAUUGGACAAUGGGCGCAAGCCUGAUCCAGCAAUGCCGCGUGUGUGAAGAAGGCCUUCGGGUUGUAGAGCACUUUUAUCAGGAGCGAAACGCUGUCGGCUAAUACCCGGCGGAACUGACGGUACCUGAGGAAUAAGCACCGGCUAACUUCGUGCCAGCAGCCGCGGUAAUACGAAGGGUGCAAGCGUUAAUCGGAAUUACUGGGCGUAAAGCGUGCGUAGGCGGUUUCUUAAGUCUGCUGUGAAAUCCCCGGGCUCAACCUGGGAAUGGCAGUGGAUACUGGGAGGCUAGAGUGUGUCAGAGGGUGGUGGAAUUCCCGGUGUAGCGGUGAAAUGCGUAGAGAUCGGGAGGAACAUCAGUGGCGAAGGCGGCCACCUGGGACAACACUGACGCUGAGGCACGAAAGCGUGGGGAGCAAACAGGAUUAGAUACCCUGGUAGUCCACGCCCUAAACGAUGCGAACUGGAUGUUGGUCUCAACUCGGAGAUCAGUGUCGAAGCUAACGCGUUAAGUUCGCCGCCUGGGGAGU
rnacentral:rRNA from 1 species